rnacentral:rRNA from 1 species
UACGGGGGGGGCAAGCGUUGUUCGGAAUUACUGGGCGUAAAGGGCUCGUAGGUGGCCAACUAAGUCGGACGUGAAAUCCCUCAGCUUAACUGGGGAACUGCGUCCGAUACUGGAUGGCUUGAGUUCGGGAGAGGGAUGCGGAAUUCCAGGUGUAGCGGUGAAAUGCGUUGAGAUCAGAAGGAACGCCCGUGGCGAAAGCGAGGUCCUGGACCCCAUCUGACGCUGAGACGCGAAAGCCAGGGGAGCGAACGGG